rnacentral:rRNA from 1 species
GACGAACGCUGGCGGCGUGCCUAAUACAUGCAAGUCGAGCGAAUCGAUGGGAGCUUGCUCCCUGAGAUUAGCGGCGGACGGGUGAGUAACACGUGGGUAACCUGCCUGUAAGACUGGGAUAACUUCGGGAAACCGGAGCUAAUACCGGAUAAUUUCUUUUCUCGCAUGAGGGAAGAUGGAAAGAUGGUUUCGGCUAUCACUUACAGAUGGACCCGCGGCGCAUUAGCUAGUUGGUGAGGUAAUGGCUCACCAAGGCCACGAUGCGUAGCCGACCUGAGAGGGUGAUCGGCCACACUGGGACUGAGACACGGCCCAGACUCCUACGGGAGGCAGCAGUAGGGAAUCUUCCGCAAUGGACGAAAGUCUGACGGAGCAACGCCGCGUGAACGAAGAAGGCCUUCGGGUCGUAAAGUUCUGUUGUUAGGGAAGAACAAGUACGAGAGUAACUGCUCGUACCUUGACGGUACCUAACCAGAAAGCCACGGCUAACUACGUGCCAGCCGCCGCCGUAAAAC